rnacentral:rRNA from 1 species
UACGUAGGGUGCAAGCGUUGUCCGGAAUUAUUGGGCGUAAAGAGCUCGUAGGCGGUUUGUCGCGUCUGCCGUGAAAAGUCCGGGGCUCAACCCCAGGCUUGCGGUCGAUACGGGCAGGCUCGAGUUCGGUAGGGGAGACUGGAAUUCCUGGUGUAGCGGUGAAAUGCGCAGAUAUCAGGAGGAACACCGGUGGCGAAGGCGGGUCUCUGGGCCGAUACUGACGCUCAUGCACGAAAGCGUGGGGAGCAAACAGG